UAAACUAGGAUUAGAUACCCUAUUAUUAUAAAUUUAAAUUUAAAAUGCUAAAUUAGUAUUAGUUAUGUUCUUGAAAAUUAAAAAAUUUGGCGGUAUUUUAGUCUUUUCAGAGGAACCUGUCCUGUAAUUGAUAGUCCACGAUUAUAUACACUUAAAUUAUAAGUUUACAUAUCGUCGUAGUUUUGAAUAUUUUAAUAGAAUAAUAAUUUUCAAAAUUUUUAAUUAAAAAAUAAAUCAGAUCAAGGUGUAGUUUAUAUUUAAGAAGAGGUGGGUUACAUUUAAUUAAUUUUAGGAUAAUUUUUUUAAAAGAAAUUUGAAUUUGGAUUUGAUAGUAAUUUUAAAUAUUUAUUUUAAAUGAUUAAGGCUCUAAAAUAUGUACACAUCGCCCGUCGCUCUUAA
rnacentral:rRNA from 1 species